GUGCUUCGGCAGCACAUAUACUAAAAUUGGAACAAUACAGGGAAGAUUAGCAUGGCCCCUGUGCAAGGAUGACACGCAAAUUUGUGAAGAGUUCCAUAUUUUU
rnacentral:snRNA from 1 species